AAAAAAUUUAAAAAAAUCAGAUGUUAAGUCUAGAAGAAAUUAUUAGUUCAUCUAGUCUUACAGUUUUUAUAAGGGAUGGUCAUAAGAUCUUGCUUGAGCAAGUCAAAACCUUUCUGUUUGACUAUGAUACCUAGUUGGGUGACAAUAAAUGUGUUUCUCAUUCACCAUUUUUAAUUAUAUCUCAUUCCAAUUGUGCAUAACAACGAUUACUGCUGAGAAGUUGAAGCUUUUUUCCCACCUAAAACUGCCUGCUUUGAGCUGCUAUCUACUGCUGAUUCUUCUCACUUUUUUUCAUUAAACUAAAGAAUAAUGUAGUGUUUAAUAUUGUCUUUCCAGGUUGCUGCAUGCACGCUGUAAGCAAGCCACAACUUGAUUGUAUUUUGCUGAGCUAGGCACAUAGUUAAAUAUCUUAUUAGAAGGAAACAACCCUAACUUCUAAUCAAAUUAUAUCUCCUGCAUACGUGCCAGAUUCUACCUUCUCUUAAAACUGGUUUUGCUAGUCAGUAGUCUGCAGGUAGAUAAUAAAAAGUUAUUUUUCUGGCCCUGUUCCACACUUCAUUAUUUGUGUGAGGAGCACAUUAUCCUUGCUUUUUUUCCUUCUUUGUUUCAUUUGCUAUGGCAUUGCUUUGAAAAUGCAUAUUUUAGCAGCAUGUCUAUUUUGACCCCUAUGUUUCUUAGCUGCUAUUUCCUGAAAUAGGUUCUCUCCUCAUAAUUAAAACUUGAUGUCGUCUUCUUUGAUAUGUAACUUUGGCUUUUACAUCAGCAUUGUGUUUGCAUAUGUCUAAUUCUUCAAGUGAUGUCAAUUUUUCUGUGCAAAUGCCCGCUUCUCCCUCAUUAUCUGUCACCCCAUCAGACCUUUUCUAAUCUGUAAAUUUGAUAAACCGUGAUUUGAUAGUUGUAAUCAAAUCACCAAGGACACUUCAAACAGCAUUGAAGUUGACUGAAAAUAUUUUUCAGUAAUGACUGACUGUGGAUGUCCUCUUUGGGGACUGUCAGCCAGCCAGCACUUAGCAACUGAAUGUGCACAUUACAGAGGGUGCUGUCAUUUGCUAAAAUAAGGCAUCACAUACUAGAUCAAAUCAUGCAUCAAGGAAAAUGUAUUGCCUUCGUUUAGCUGCUUAAAACAAAAUGCAAAAGAGGAGAGUUAUGGGAGAGGUGGGUAAACAAAAGUGUGUAGUUGAGGAAGGGAACCAAAGGAGAAGGUCAUACAGGGAAAAGAGGAGAGAAUUGUUACUUAGCAGAAGUAUAGAUAACUCUCCUGCUGACUGUGACCCAGUGCGUUAAUGGAGUCUCUGUGGUGACCUCUGAAAAAUACUAAGCUGUGAACAGUUCUUUGUGGCUAAGUGGCAGGUUUAAAUUUUUGGUUUCCCAGCAGUUUUUCACAAAUUUUGUUUUAGUGACAGUCUGUCACUGUGCACUCUCCAGUGUUGUCUAUUGCAUUGAUUUAAUUAUGUUGGUAUUUUUUUGGUUGUUUUUUUUUUACUCAACCAAUGAGAUAUUAUCAAUUCACUUCCAUUUGGUUCUAUUUCAUGAGUAUCUUUACCAGUGCUACACCGGAAAGCGUGUAAAAUGGUAACACUUUGAUUUUUACCAUCUUUUUCAUGCUGUUUCUCAGAUCUGCAGAGGGUCUUGCAAGUUGGAAAGAUGUUUGUAAAGAGGUGACACGUGACAAGUGGCUUCUUCAAAAGACUGUGCUAAACUGAAAGGCAGCUACCACAUGCAUGUCAUACAGAAAACAUAAUUGCUUGUUAAAAACAUGAGUUGAGAUCCUUCCUUUGUUCUGCCACAGACUCCUUGUACCUGCCUCACUUGUACCACUGCCACUUCUGCAGUUAGAGAUGUUCAUAGGCAUUCACUAAUUCCCAGGAGUUGAAAAUGGCCUUCUGGAAUGCUGUGGUGCCUACUGUCUCCUAGUCCCUGCCAGGCCUUGUCUCAGAAAAGCUGUGCCUCGAAACUUCCUAACAAAUAGCAAACAUCCUCAGAGCUGCUAGCAGGACGAAAGCUCUGUGGUAGUGGCCACAUCACUGUUAAGUUUAACACUGUGGUAAGGUGAAAGUAGGUUGUAUAGGUUCAGUUUAUAGAUGCAAAAAUUUGAGGGAGGGAAUCUGAAGAACUGUGGGACUUCUUUGUACCAUUUUCACCAGCUACCUGCAGAAGAGAGGUAACAAAUGAGAUCACCCACACUCAGAUGAUACCAAGCUUUUUCCGAGUAGCUAAAUUCCUCUGCCCCACUGUGACACAGGUAGGAUGAAGGGCAGCAUAGGAGAUUCAGCACAGAGAAUCAUACAGAAAUGAAUCUAUGCUGAGCUCAGUAAGCUGGGAGGGCAUGGGCCGACAGGGCCCUGCGCAGGCAGAACACUGAGGUGGGCUGGGGCUCCGCGGCCCAGUCAGUGCUUGGGACCUCACCACAGCAGUGAAAGCCAUUCUUGUGCUGCACUGCACUGCAAGAAGGAAGAGAGGGUGGGAUUUAGCUCAGAUGUGUCUUCAUCUGGGGAUGGAGGAAGCAGCCCAGAGGAUUGGGAAAGAAUUUGGACCUGAAUCUUGCAGUACAGAUACUGAUGAGGUGAAAGCUGGCUGGGCUCAUCCCAAGUGCCUGUGGGGGAGGGGCUGCCUCUCAGAAGGCCACAGUGGGGUAUGUGGACGCCCCUGUUAUGCUGCUGGUUCUCCCAGCACAGGUUCUCCUUGAGCCACCAGGAGUGAGGGAGCAGCUGAUCAAGCAGUGUCAGCCACCUUCAGGAUAUAAUUUGUCCCCUCAGUGUGGUCACACCCUUUCCAGUUGAAAGUCAAAACCUGAGGGGAAAUUCAAAAGCUGCCCUGCGCCCCUCAGCACAGACAGGCAGAGUUUUUAGUCUGUUCUUUCCCACAGCUGUAUUUAACUUCUCUAAUUAGCUCCUCGUGGCCUUAAUUGCAUUAUUAAUGAGUGAGAAACUAGGCAAUUGCUUUGGUACUUCAUAUAAUUGCUACAUUUUUCUGUCAUAUCUACAGGAUCCAACUCAGACUUUAGCUGGUGGCAUUAUCUUCAGCCUUUUUUUUUUCCUGAGUGAGAUCAUGAGUUACUGUUCAGCAAUCCUAACCUUAUUCAAAUUGAUCCUUGUCAGUGUUUAUUACUUGAGGAGAUCAUGAUCUGAGGUAGUAUGGCAGGAGGCCACGAGCUCAUCAGGUGCUGCACUGAGGAGAGGUUCUGUGGGCACACAGCGCCAUUUUAGGAACAAAGAGUGGCUCUCUCAGGCUGACUGACAAACAUUUGGGUUUUUCUUCUUUUAUGGCAUCCUUUUCAACUUUCCUGGAAGAGACUUUGUUGUGAUAAUUGUGUUAUAUUAAUUUUUGCCUAAGUGCAUCAGUAUUCUACUUUAGCUUCAUGUUUUACAGCACACUAUAUGUAAACUAUUACAUUGUGAUUCAUUCCUAUUAUGGCUGUUGCUUCAUUAACUCCAAAGAGUUAGCGUAUAUUCAGCACUUUUUGCACAGAAAGUUUGUGAAUGUACUGAACUGCUAGUCUUGGAAGACUGCCUUCUGGUACUCAGCAGCCUGUGGUGUACUUGAUUGCAGCUCCUCUAACGGUGUUUCAGGUUUCUCAUAAUUCAGAGUAAUAGGAAAGAUUAGAAAAAUGUGGUUAUUCUAUGAUCUUACUUUCUCAAGUUUACUAUUAUAAAUCAUCUAAAGAGCCUGCAGCUGCUGCUGAAAAGGGCAAUCUCAUCUUUUCCUCUCAUCCCCAGAAAUGACUGUGCACUGCUGUCUGUGUUGCUGCUAGCAAUAGUUGUGGCCAUGCAGGUGGCGGAAGGAAGAAAACAAAUUAACUUUCAGCUGUAUCAGCAACUUGAUCUGACUUGCCAUGUACCAGUGAUUGCUAGCGGUGACAUGAAAAAGGGCAGGGGCAGGCAAAUCUGAGCGUGGGUUCAGUUGGGUUUAAGUUUGACGUGAAACCACAUCUUAAGAAGAAGCAUAAAAGGAGGAAAAAAUCAUCUUUUGUGCAGAAAUAAUGAAUCUUGAAUGACACUUCUGUUUUGCUUUAAUCUUUAAUUUUUGUAGUCUAUGGAUUUCUGCACUCAGCCAUCUGUUGCCAUCUUCCUGCACACAAUGCAAUGCAACCUCUCUUCCUUGCUUUCACAUUUCUUUUUUUUUUUUUCAAAUGAGUUAUUUGCAAAUGAGAAAUAUUUUUUCAGUUUGCAUGUCCACUUUUUUUAAAGCUUCUUAUCAUGCUGCUUUAUCUAGUUUUCCGCUGUACAAUGGAGUACUCAGUGAGCAGAGGGAAGCUGCUGGCUGAAGAACUGAGAUUGUACUUGAAAUCCUUUUGGUAAUACAAAUAUGUCAUGCAAUUGUGGUUUUUCUUUUCUUUGUAUCUUCUGUUGAUCGUAGAAGGUAGGUGAACAGCUGCUGCUAGAUUAUGAAUGGUAGCCUCUUGUGUCUUUUUCAGUCUCUACGAAUAAGCCUUAUUUAAAUUAAGUACUCAUCUAUUAGCUUGACUGAAGCUUUCUUUUCACUUUAUUUUUAUACGUAUCUGAAGUCUGCUGUAUGUUUCAAGUGUUUUAUGUAGCUGAUUAAUUAUUUUUAGACAGUAAUUUUUAUUUUAGCUGUAUUGUACAUAAUGUGUGUUGUUGAUGUUCCUCAGUUCCAGAACUUUCCUCAGGAAGGUUUAUUUUCUUUUUUAUUGUUCUUUAAUUUUUAAUACUCACUUAGCAUUGAAAGCUGUUUUAUUUUUUAUUUUCAUAAUAUCCAUCUUACUGAUGCUUUGACUUAUAGGCCUUCAGCUUUCAGGACAAAGUCCUAUAUUGUCUAACAGACUGCUGCAAACUUCCUCUGAGUUUUCUUAAAGAAGCCUACAGGUUUUCUUUUCUUAACCACACCAUUUGAGAUGCAGAUGCAGAAUCCUUACUUCAUAUAUGAAAUACCAUAAACAGCUAACAUGACCAGGGCACAAUAUGGUACAUCAGCAUGUAUUCUCUGAGAAAACACACACUUCCUAAUGGGGAUAGUCUGCGUAAAUGAUAAGGCAGUUUCUAUGACAGUAUGGAUUCAGUGGAAGACUAUAUGGAUUUUCACUUUGGUUUUGGCAUUGUUUUCCUUACACUGCCACUCAGCGGUCAGUAAUGGUGUGUCUGGAGAUUCCAGCUUCAGAAGCCUGAAAAAUUGCUAUCCGAACUGUUCAGCACUUUGUUUGAGGGGGCUUUAUUUCAUGAUAGGAUCACACUAGAACUAAGUUUCAGUGCUCAGAGUAAGUCUUGCUACACUGCCAGAUGAAAGCUUUCUUAACCACAAAGAUUUCACGCAAUGUGAUUGAAUCCUAUGCCAAGGACUUACUGUUCUGCAAUAGGGAAACAAUUUUGCAUUGCCAUUUAGAGAAAUGAGAAUUAUGGAAGAGCAAAAAGUUUUGCUGCUUUUUCAAUUUUUCCUCUUAUUAAUGUUACAUACGAAUCUUGAGAGGCUGUCUAAAUUAGAUAAUUAGAUGAUUCAUCUGCUCUAAAGGCCUGUGAAGGAAUAGGAACAUCGAGAGGGCAACUCAACCUAGCCUGAAGUCAUUCCAGUCGAAGGAAAAUUCUUCAUAUACAGAAAUCUAAUGCAGUAUAGAGUUGUGAUAUUUUAAAAUAAUUCAAAAAUAUUCUAUUUACACUUAGAUAAUCAAAUGCAUUUGAAUGCAAAAUAUUACUUUACAGAUAAUUGAAUUAUCUCAAUUUUAGUGUUUACAUGAUUGUUUUAAUUUUUUUUUUAUUAAAGACGUUGCAAAAUGGUGAAAGUUUUUGGUCAAGUAAUCAUAUGAAAUAUUGUGGUCCUCUUUGUUUUCCAGAACCAUUUUAUGUUCCACAUGCAUUUUGGUAUGUUGUGGAGACUUUACAAGAUGUUGCACAUCAAGAGUAGCAAUUCAGCUUUAAAGAAACAAUUGCAAGUGAGGCUCUGUACAUGGCUUUUUUUGGAUGAGUGAAGAAAUUAGCAGGACUUCCCUGGGGUCUGUUCUUGAGCUGCAGAUAACUGGGUGUGUAUGCUAGUACUUUUCUGUGAACGUUCUUCAGGCUUUAAGUUCUUUGAAGCAGGUGGCCUUGUUAGAAUUGCUUACAGAACUGUCAGUAGAAAGGAUGAUAAAAGGAAGAAGAGAAGAUGAUGUAUUGAAUUAUAUAGGCAGAGAUGCAGAACAGAGUAUGGGGAAGGCAGCGCUUGGAAGUGGUGUGUGCUGCUCUGGGCUGCUGCCAUUCAGCAUUGGCUGCGUCACAACAGGAAGGAAAUCAUCUGUGGCACACUGUGCUGGUCAGCAGUUAGGAUGAAACCCAGUCGCAAGACGUCAAGUUAAAGGAAUUUCUUUUUCUUUUUCUUUUUUCUUUUUUUUUCUCCUCCCGUUACACAAUAAAGUGGAGAUUUAUGUUUUGGGAGCAGGGGGAUGAAGCAGGUGGUUUGUGGUGAUUACCAAUAGAAAUUUGAGAGAAGAAAUGUGAGAGCCAGGAAUAAGUAAGAAGCUUGAACUAUGUAUUUCUGCACUGAAAUAAAUGAGCUGAAUGAGGCUGCAAUUCAGCAAGAGCUUUUCAAAAGCAUCUCCAAAUCCUGCCUUAUUCAGCAACAGCAUAGUUUUUCAAAAAUGCCAACCUGCAAGUGAACAACACUUAGUAGUCUGCUGAAUUAUGAGAGUGCUCUUGAAAAUCUCGUGCCAUAGUAAGGAAGUUCAGAAAGACAUCUCAAGUGAGGACAGCCCUUAAGGGUUUAUGUCCAUUUCUGAAUCAAGUCUGUAAGUGUUACUUCCAUGACAAAUUGAUUUUCACAAAGCUUAGGGACAGGAUUUAAAAAUUUAAAAACAAUUAAAUGUUCUCUUGAAUUAGAGCCCAGCUUAGCAGGAGGAAACAGCUGAAGCAGAUAAGAUAAAUUCAUCGAGAAUGUCUAGAAAUCGUUCUGGGAGUAACGUGAGUGGAAAUUGGGAAGACAAGCUUAAAUUAAAAAGGAUUGAUUUAAAAUCUAGAAAAAGUGUGCUAAUUCAGGUGUUUUCUUUAUCUUUUCUCAUGCAUCAUGAAUGACUGUUUAAAACAAAGGCAAAUAUAUGUGUAUAGGAAAUAUACAGGUCCUGAGGACAGAGAGCAUUAUGCAUUUCUCCUUGGAAAAUAAGCUUCUUGAGGCAGGAAUAACUAUCAGAGUAACAGAGUAGUAGUGCUCUCUAUUUAAAACUUUCUUACUUAUUAAUCACCCAGGUCAGGACAAGCUAUCUUCUCUCAAAGUUUAAGCUUUCACAGUUCAUGAAAAUGUGAAGUUAGUCAUGCAAAAUAAUUCUGUCACCACUCUGUAACAAAUCUUUAAGGUUUAUUGAACACAUUUGAAAGUAUUCCAGGAGAACAGCUGCAUAGGAUUAAUCAUUCUCAGGGCAAAAGCUGGAUUUUUCAGACAUUUGCAUGCACUUCACAGUCUCUCAGAAAAAUAGCCUGUUCCUAUUUAAAAGCUGAAACAAGUCAGCAGUUAUUUUUAACAAAUUUGUUGUCUUGACUAAGCAAUCUACUCAGAAACCUUUGGCAAACUUUGAGUUGCAACUAAGCCUUUUUGGAUACGGGCUUUCAUUAAAUUCCAGCCCCAGAGCAGGACCUGCUGAUGGAUGUCCAGUCCCCACGUGCAGUCAGGCUGGGGUCAGGCCCUGCUCUUCGUUUGGCAGUUGGUGUCUCAAAGCCUCCACAGCCAGCUGCUUUCAUGGUGUUUCAUGGUGCGUGGUGGUCACCUCACCUGGGGUGGGUGAGGUUAUCACUACUUACCUUAUGCUGAUGGCAUGAAUUUAACAGAUGUCUGCAGUCUCCUGGGUUAUUGAGUAUAUCCAAGUUCAUACACAUGCCAAAAAUAACAGAAGCUGUAAUUUGAUUUUAUCUCAUCUGGUUUUAUUUUCUUUAAGCAAAGGGAAGCAAAUAAAUAACUUACGAUAUAAGGAAAUUAUUUCUUUGGAGAUAUUUCAUGGUCCAAAUCACCUGCUGGUUUGCCCAUCCAGCCUAGGAUGAGAGUGUUGUUAUCGUUUUCCAUAGCAAUAGUUGUAUCAGUCUUAGUUGAUAGGAACGCUGAAAUCUAUGGGGCAAAAUCUUUGAUGAAACAGCAGCCUUUGCUUUGUGGAAGCAUUUUUCUGCAAGUUAGUGAUUCCUCCUGAUGUAUUAACAUCAGUUAGAAUUUUCAUUUAAAAUCUAGAACAUUAAUUACCAUUAGCUGGGAACAGCUCCAUGAAAAAACAGAUCAGAAAGAGAACUCGGAGUGUUCUGGACAGUGGGUCUGGACUGUUUUCGUGGAAAAUUUUUCAGAAGGUUUCUGAAGAAGCACAGAGGUCACCAGCUGGCAGGCUGCUCUACUGAAUUGUGCAGCAAUAACAGUGAACAGUAAAUGACCCAACAAGGACAUGCUGAUCAGCUGCUGAUGACAUGGUCUGUUAUUUUGUACUGUAGGUAACUUCAAGGAUAUUCAAAAUAGAAUUUAUUUUUUUAUUUUUUAUUUUUAUUUUUUUGGCAAUACAGGCCAGAAACCUAGAAUUCUGGUCUAUAUCCUUAAUCAUUAACUAUGGAAUGUGAUGUACUUUUCCAGCUUUCUUCGAAGUUCAGGCAAAAGAAAAAUGCAUGAGUAAGAAAACUGUGUGUGUGCAUUGCUCAAGUGAGCCUGCUAGACUUUUCUAACCAGAAUCCUAGAACAGCAAGAGAUCACAUUCGAAUAAUUGAAUGUCUUGCAUGCCAUCCCAGUGAUUUGUGGGAUUCAGUAACUGCAGCGCAUCUGGUGCCAGACAGCAUGUGCAUUUUCAGAGUAUUUCUCUGGAUAAGAGCGAUCCAGCUGUCAAAUAAUGGAUCUGCAGAACAGAAAGAUAAGCAUUAUGCAGAUGUAUGAAGCUCUCGUCAGAUUUCUGAAAGAGCAAAGUUUUGUCUUGUUUAUGGAAAAGCAAAGUUUAAAAGGAAUUCAUUAAAAAUAAGCCAACAACACAAAACAGCCAGCACUAAUUUUUUAGGACGAAAAUAACGUAAUCAUGGCAGGGGAUAAGGCAAAUACUAAGCAGGAGACAACUGCAUAGUUUUAGGAGUUUAGAACUGAGCUGAAACAGGGUUGCAUGCAACCACAUACAAACAAAUAAAUUAUUAAAGUCUGUUGCUGCAAUUACUCAGAUGCUCAGUAGAGUGAAUUAAAACUUGCCUGCAAAGAACUAAACCAGAAUCCUUUAACUCUAUUACUGCUGUUUAUAAGCUUGCUCAUUGCUUAUGGUUUAUAUGUCUGGAAAAGGGAUAAUGUUUUAUCUGCUACAUGAAAUUUGCUUCUGAAGUGUAUUAAAUCAUUGACAACAAAGCAUACCAAUCUAAUUGUUACUAAGUUUUUUAAAGUCAUUCACUCAAUGAAAAGUGAUGUUCUGCUGUCCAACAUCAAACUCUUGAUAGCCAGAGUUUUGAGUAGUAUCAUCAUUAUACCUCUGCAGCUCACUAUCAGAAUGGUGCCAAUAGAGACUAAGGAUAUUUUAGCCAGCACAAUUUAUGUGAAGGAGUGACAAAUGUUAAUGUUCAUUCUGACAUAGUAAUUUUUCUUUGCUAGAACUUAAAGUAAUUUUUAAUGGCAGCUACGUAUAUGUUAAGUGCUUGGGGAUAAGGAGGCUGGUCACAGGGCCAGUGCAACAGUGAAAAUCUCUUGAUAGGUAACUCUUUACAUGCUGUACUUGCAGCAAAGAUGUGUGCACGUCUGUGUGUAUGAUAGGCAUUUCAUGAAGAACUGAGUACACUGAUCUUUCAAAAUACUGUUCCAUAUGUGGAAUGUAUAUCUGUAUCUAGUGGAGCCUUUAUUCAUUUAUUUAUAUCGUUUCCAAUUGCUUUACAAACCAACCCUGGUUUUGUUUUGUUUGGUUGUGGAAGCCUUUUGUCUUGUUGAUUUUGGAGUGCUGCCUAUUUAUAAAAAACAAAACAGAAAAUCUGAAUGUCAGCACCAAUAUGAUUGACCAAAAGCUAUGCUUUUGUUCUCCAAAAUACAGUCGUCUAUUCCUUUGAGUCCUCUAGACUCCUCUUUAAUUAAAGGAAAUAGAAGGACAGACCAAAUGAUGAUUUAUCUCACAUACCCUGGAUACCUAUCUCAACAUGUGAGUGUUAGAUUACUCGGUUUUCUGGUUAAUGCAAAUUUAUUUAAAAUGUCGUUAGAUAAGGAAGUAGGUACGUGUGUUUGUGUAUAUAAAAAAGUAUCAUCUAUUCCAUUUUACCAUAGUAUUUAAGUGAUAGUUUUGGAAUAAGUGAGUUAAAUGGCCUUUGGCAGGAGGGUUGGAACUUGAUGAUCCUUCCGACAAAAGCCAUUCUGUGAUUCUAUAAAUGUCUGUGCUGGGCUGGAGGACAAGUGAGUAGAGUAUAGUGUGUGUGUAUGUAUAUAUAUAUAUAUAUAUAUAUUCUUUUUAUAAAAUUUGUGAAAAUUUGUGAACAAAAAGGAGUUGAGGUAGAAAUCUUGUGAUCCCAUAGUUCUUGUUUUGUUUUUUUGUUGUACCUUGAGCUAUUAUUGGAAUCUUUGCUUUAUGGCAGGAUUUAUUUUCAGAGAGAUGAGUGACUGCUGGAAGACAAAGCUGGUUUCACAACACCCUGCUUCUAUUUCUCAUUUCACGAAAGUCCUUUAGCAUGACCUUGGGUGAAAUACAUCAUCUCAGAUGUCCAAAGGUACUUCUGAGUACGUGACCAAAUUAGGAUCAGUCAUAUUUCUACUUCACUUCCUCAUCUUUCUCAUUUAUUGCAAAGCAAGGUUCUGAAGUUGUACAAAACAAAUGAAUUAAAGGUUUUGUGGUCCUCAGGAAUUACUGUAAGGGGAAUUACAAGAGAAAGCAGAAUUAUGAUUCCUUUCUGGACAGCCCUUGACACAGCCAACAAUUCCCCUCGCAGGGCCAUUGUGUGUAGCUACUGAGUCCCCUGUAAUGCAGAGCAGUUUGCUUCAUUAUUUAAAAAUUUAGGGACAGUCUUCAACUGUGGCAGCAUCUCAAGCUCUGCAAGCUGUUAUCAACAUUAGCAAAAUGCCACAUUCUUUGCAUCCAGAAAAGACACCCCAAAACCAAACCUUGCCUAUUAAUCUGCCCAGCUCCAAUGGAUUUAGUGAGUAAGUCUCCCACUCGCUACUUUUCUACAUGAUGAUAAAACCACUGCAGGAAUGGUAAUCCAAGAAAAUGAUGUCCUUUGCCAAAGCUGUCAGGAGGAGGCUGGGUAUUUGUUACUGAGUGAGAUGUGACAUGCUUGUUUUCAUUCUGCAUUCCUGACUAAAUUCUAUGAAUGAAUUUGAAUGAUUGUCCAAAUAUUACCUCAAGCAAGCGCUGUCUUCUGUGCCAAAGAAUGUUGUAAAUCAAACCAAGUAUAAAAAUUCAAGAGCCCUUGAGGACACUGUACAAGUAAUACAGUCGUGGCAGGAUGGAGUAGGAGUACAGCAGGCACUUUUCAGUAUAAUAAGUAUCUUCUGGUACAAGUGAAUACUGAGGUAAAUUAGGCAAAAUUUUCUCUGUUGAAAGUUUCAGUUAAACGUGUGAAACAGUUAUCAGCACCAUCCUUUGUAAAAUUGAGCAUGGAAACACUUAUGAAACACAGGGUAAAGAACUGUUUCCUACAGACAUUUUAAUUGUUAUGACAAGGAACAGAGUAUUACAAUAAAAAAGGGAAAAUCAACAAGAGUUGGAGAAGAUAGAAAAUAUCGAUAAAGUCUUUUAUUUCUGUUUCUUUCUCUCUUCCAAUUGCUUAUCAUUACUGUUUCCAUCUAAUGUGGUAACAAUUAUCUGAGGGUAUCUGAGAGUCAUGCUUAUGACGUUUUGAUAAAUUGCUAAUUUCCAUAGUAAUGUGCUUCAUUUUUCUUCCUCUGUUACAGAGUUAGCUCUGACGGUCUCUGGAGGAAUUUGAGAAGUGUGAAGGUUGGAAAUGAAUCAGUUAUGCAUCAGCUACAUUUUAUACUCUUGUCCUGAGAGUAAAGCAGUUAUGGACUGGGCUCCUGGUUCCAGAAUGACAGCUUAUUCCUGUGGAGGAACCCAACUAAAAAGAUCGAUCGCCUGGAGGAAGCCCAUGGUUUCUGUAUGAAUGCUGGAGAAAAAAAAACUGCUCUUGAAGAACUGAUUUGCAUGACUGGUGUCUCUGGACAGCCUGAGGCAGAUAUUAAGGAAAGAUCAGCAGUUACAGCGAACGUCCAGGGGUGCACCGAUCACAAGGCCUGCUGUCAGAAGCAUGGAUGAUGGUAGAAAUCAUCAGCGUGCAGCAUGUGCCAGCACCAAAGCUUCCAUCAGAGGCAGUAUCAUCUUCCAGCCUGCUUGAGUCCUCACCAGGUAAGUGCAUUACUUGUCUCUUGGGUCAGGGAAUGAGACAGCUGAGUGAGGCACAAUUAUAUGCAGGGUUUGGAAUAGUUGACAAAGUAAUGUGAGGGCUGCUUCUGGAAGUAUCCUCUGACCAGGCCUUAACCUGGGGUUGCUACUGUCCUCUGGCAUAGUUUUUCAGCUUAGCGUCAGGCAGGAGCAGCUUCUGCAAAUGGGGACAGAUGGAUUGUGCAUGUUCACAGCAAGUCCAGCACCAGAAAGGGAAACACUGUGCUUUCACAGUAGCCCUUGGUGGAGGAGGUCCUUGACAGUUAAAAAGCAGUAGAGCCACUACUGCCUUUUUUAGUGAACAAAUAGUCCAGCACAAACACAUUUUAUUUUAAUUAGCAUUAAAGAUGUCAUGAACCCUGCAUGUGUAUUUCUAAUUUGAAAUGGUGUCAGUCAACAUCGUAGAUUUUGAGAAUGAUCUCAAAAGUUGACCCUCUUUAGUUCUCUUCACAGAGAUAGAUAAAAUACCCAUGGAGGGGAUGGAAGUGAAAAAGAAAUGUGAGCCAGUGAUCACAAAAGUCAACUUAGGCAGUUAUAUGAAUGCAUGUAACAGUAUAUCGCUGUCUAGAAUUUGCAUUUGCAGCUUUUCCCAGCCUUAGAUUAGAAUUUCAACUAUUUUAAAGCAGUCAUUGGUAUGAUAUCAUUUUAAAUCUCUGUUGUCACAGAUUCCAGGUGUUAUAUAUUACAGGUACAGCUUCACAGUUGGUUUUUGGAUACACUUGUUUAUUGCUACUAUAAAAAAAAGCCACCUUUUUUGUGCCUUGAUAACUCAAAGCUUGCAACUGGACUUACGAUAAACAUUACAUGUGCAGUUGUCAUUUCAGAGUAUGCAGCAUGAACGCAUUUUUUGGAGAGAAAAGAUUGAGAUUUAUUUGGCUUUUGAUGGGGUGGGGGAGAGGGCAGAAGGGGUGCCUGUGUAUGCAUGUUAUAUGUUCUGGUUAAUUUUUAAGCAACUAGUUUACAUUAAAAAAAAUCAUGGAGGGGAAGCAAUAAUAUUUAAAGUAAUUCAAACAGUUUGAUAAUUCUAUCUUAUUCUACAACUAGGUUAUUGCUUAUAAAGUCACGGUUGUGAAAUCAAUACAAAUGUUUUAACUGUAAGGUCAGGCUUGUGAUGUAGCUCAUUCUUACUAAUGUUUUCUGAAAAAUGUUUUCUGUUCCUCUGAGUGAAAAAUGCUGCAUAACCCACUGCCACGCUUAAUCUAAAAUAGGUACAGAGAUGCACUUCAGUUUUCUGAAUAUUUUUUUGCAAACCGAAUUUAUGAUAACACCCAUUCCUGUAUUACUUUACUUAAGUCUAAAAAGGGACAUUUAUUUACAGUAGAGAAAAUACGUCAUAUUGGCUUCUUGUAUAAUGUACCAGCAUGACCUGAAAAGAUUUGCUUCCAGUAACAAAAAGAUAAUAAUCCAUUAGCUGGACAGACACAAGCAUAUAAAACAACCAAAGGCUAUUGAUAGUAUUGUAAAUUGCUGUUUUCAACUUGCUUUAACAUUUGUAGUGAUAACAAUAAUAAUAAUCAGGAAGAACAGAGAUAUUAAUCUAAAUAAAGUCCAGUUUUAAAUAGGAAAUUGACAUUUAAAUAUUUACUUUUAAAUUUCCUUUUUUUUCUGAGCAGAAAGCUUUGCUGAGAAGUGUGCUGAUAACAAGUAUCAUGAAGGGCCUGCUUCAUGCCACUAAUAAAAGUAGUAACACUAGGGAAUGAUGUGGGGUACUAGGACCUAGUAACAUAAAUAUUUUGUGCAGGUUAGGCUGUCUAUAAAUAGCUAUUGUAGCCCAUUUUAUAUAAUCUUUAUUCUUGCAGAUAAAUUCUGUGUAUCUAGGCUCCAUUCUUCACGUAUACUUUUAAUUCCUGUGAGAGACUAGAAUUAAAAUGAAAUGGGACCGCACAUGUAAGAAAACCUUUAUAAUGCUAUUCGUAAACAUCAAAAAUGAGCAUGAAAAUCUCUAAUUUUAAAAUAUAUUAAGGUUCUUUUCAUUUACUUUCUUGUGAUUGAACUUUACUAUCCAGUUGUGGUCAGUCUUUUCCUACAGCUGUUAGAGGGAUGCAGAAACUGAUUUAAAAAAUCUACCACCAACUAGAAACCCCACGAUACAAUUCUCCAAAUUCCAAGACCUGCAGGAGCUGCUAAUAAUGUUGAUGUAGGUGAGUACACUCAAGAUCUCUCAGGUUACUCUUUGCAGGAUGAAUUAUCAUUCAUGGGUGCUCAGGAACAUCCUAUUAAGUCAAGACCAACCGCUUGUUUCUUUGGGAGAGAGAAGAGGACAUAGCUCAUUUUAAACAGCAAAUUACAAAGGUCAGUGAUAAAAUAGUAAAUAAAAGGAACUAUGCAGCAGAAAAGCCACUAGGCAGCAUUCACUUCCAUGCCAUUUUGGUUUUUAUGCAUUAGAACAGUUAUCCUAGCAAGUGCUGCAUUACUUGGUAUGCAGAACAUUUGAAGAUGGAUUAUUAAGGAAUGGGGACAGAAAACACAUCACACAGACUUAGCAACACAUUGUACAUAGCUUUUUUUUUCUCUUUUAACAGUGUAUAAGAAAAAUAUGCUGUGUUACCAUAACUAAAAUACUCUCUCAACCAUUUAUGAGUUUUUUCAACUUCUUUUGGUUCCAGGUAGGUUUUAGUUAUCCUGGUUCUAUUUUAUAAAACCUUUUCUUAACAAUAAUGGCUUCAGGAAGAAGAAAUAAGGGAGAAUUAUGAGCCCAGCAGUGGGCUGACAGUUGUGUUGUCACUUUCUGUUGUGUCACUCAGAGUGGGGCAUACUUUUCUAUAGAAUAAAGCCAGACAGGAAUUCCAGCUGGCACUCGGCAAAGCAGAAGGGAACAUUUUCCUCAUUAAAAAAAUCAUUGUUUAAAUCCCAAGCGUACAUAUCCAUGGUAUAAGGAGGUCACUUAUUUUCCACUAUUUCAGCAAUAACUACUGCAGCAAGCUAAUGAUUUUACUAGACGGUUAAAGCAUCAAUUUGCUGCAAAUUGUUCAAUCCAUAACUAAUGAGUAGCUUUACAGGUUUUCAGUAUAUCAAUUCAAUUAGAAUUUACUGUUUGUGUAAGAUCAUUUCAUUUGUGGACGUAGAAUGAUUUUUUUUUUCCCGGUAACCUUCAGCAUCCACUUUCUUCAGCUUCUAUGCAUCAUAUGCAAUCUCUCUUCAUGGUUCUGACAGCAUUCUUGAAAAAUACACUGUCCAUUUCUACACAGGCAUAUGUGCAUCCCAUUUCAAGUCUUAAAUAUAUUCCCUUGUAGAAGACAGUUAACAUCCAAGGCAGGAAGAGACAACAAAUGGAAUUCAGGCUCUGUCACCUGUAGCACUAAAACUCUCCUAAUUUGAAGUGGGAUUAUAUUAUGUUAUGUUACACCUGUAAAUGUGUGAAGCCAAAGGGCAGCUGCGUUAUUUGGACCCACACAGGUAAUUCUUCAUAACAAGCUGAAAUCUCUCCUGUCUGAAAAAAUAGCAAAGGCAAAAAAAACUCUAUGGACUGAGUGACAACACUUUUGUCACAGACUUGUGGUACAGAAAGAAGAAAUUGAACCUGAUGCUUGCUUAACCGAUUAAGUUCUAGAUUACUUUUGAACUGGCAAUGCCAGUAUGAUUGUACCAUGUGAUCUCCAGCCUUUGUAGGAAAAGGAUCAGUUCUAUCAUUAUCAAUUACUAUAACAAGAUCAUUUUAGGCAAAACAUUUACAGACAAGCAGAAGUUCAAAUCCUGUCAAUGAAUUCAUAGACUGAAAAAACAUUGUAUUGGUGGUUACAAAAGGAGCAGUGUAGCUCGAGAGCUGUUAGUACGGGAGUGUUGAAUCAUCCCACUCCAACUGCUCUUGCCUGGUGAAAUUCUGCUUGCCUCUCUUUUGGACAGUCGCUUCCUCCUCUUCCUCCUCGUCCUCCUCCUCCUCACUCUCAUCCGAUUCAGCACUGGUCGUAUCUUCCUCUUCAUCAUCUUCCUCUUCGCUCUCCUCUUCUGCCCGGUGAGGCUUUUCAUAUUUCUACAGUACAUUCAAAGAAAUGAGAGACAGACAAAAGAAGAAGACGAGUCCCUUCUUGCUAGCCAGUGGCUAUGAAAACAUGAACCCUUAUUGCACAUCAUUUGAAAAUGCUAGCAUGCUGGAAAAAAUCUGAUUUUUGUCAUUAUGUAACUAUUAGAUAUACUACAGUUCAGUAGCAAAUAUUCAAAACCUACUCUAACAAGAAUGGAAUAUUAAUAAGUGAUACCUCUUUUUUUUUUUUUUAGUUAAGCUGACAAAAUUUAACUUCUCAAUGUCAGUUUAUCUAAAUUGCUGAUCAUUUCCACUCCUUUAAGUAACUACUUCAUCUUGGGUGCCUGGAGUGCAAAGACAGAUGGAGAAGCUAUGUUGCACCCAAGAUUUCUGCACCACAUAUUUAGCAAUUACUUCUGACAAUAAAAAAAUAUUAAGUGCUCAACUGUAUAUUACUGUGGUGUGCAGAGCUCAAAAUUGAGCUGUGGUCCUGAGUGUCUGUAUAGACAACUGUUCUGCCAAGCAUUAUUAACUGUACACAGAAAGAAGCUUUAAACUUGCAGCUAAGAACCUACCAGCCUGGACAGAAACUCCUGGUAUUAAACACGAUGAUAUACAACUAUGUUUCAGUAACUUACCUCCAUGGGGUUGACAGUAAUAGUCAGAGCAGAAUCGUCCCAAUCCAUUUCAUUUUCCUUACUGCUUUCGUUGUCUGUAGAGCUGUGCUGCUGGGCUGUCCGAAUUCUAUAGACUCCCACGGCUAUGAUGGAAAUGAGUACGCUCACACAGAUUGCAAUAACAACAGUAGCCACACGUGGAACAACUGAAACAAAAAGUGGAAAAGGCAACAGGUUUAUAUCUAUGGACCAAACUGCCUACAAAACACUGAACACAUUGUCUUUUUUUACUCCUUGGUACCUAUUCCUCUGCCCCCUGUCUGGGACUGCAGAGGUGGUGAAGUGCCCACUUUCUAGGGCAGAGCAUAUACAAUAAUAAGCAUUGCAAAUCUUAACUAAAAAGUUACUAUGUCUAAUGUUUGUUCAUUAACUCACUUCAUUACAGAAGACAAGCAGUCACUCAGUUCAGAAUCAAUUAGUUUCAAAACAAGCUUUUUUGCAGUUUAAUCUUAGCUGUAUGUUAUCCCCUUCUGACUACAGGUAAAUGAAGCUUUAGCAUCAGCUGUGAGAAAAAUAUAUCUAUCUAUCUCCACACUUUUAUUUUAGAAGGUUUCAAACACUCAUACUGGGAUUUCCAUUGCCAAGAAAUAAAACAAAGCAUUGCUGCUUUAUUGUCUGUGUCACAGACUUUCUUGGAGACUCUUGAGCAUUCAAGACUUUUUUCCUCCCUGUUCUAUUGCAUUCUGAGAAGCCUCUAUCUCCAGCUGAACACAGAAAGACAUCUCUCCAAAGUACUCUUAUGCUAUCAGCUCCACAGUUGUACAGAUUAGUGGAGAUGUACUUUUGCUACCUACGUACUGAAGUUCCAGGAGCUACAGUAGUUAUGUACCCCAUUUUGCUGCCUUGCCUGUGAGACUGGAACUCUGAAAUCGGAACAAGAUGAAAGAAGAAAAGAAAGAAGUACUUUGCAAUAGUUGGUUUUGCUAUUUACAAAAAAACAAAACAAACAAAAAAAACCCAAACAUAACAGUCUAGAACUACCUAUGCUUAUUCAGCUUUAUUCUUUACAGACUUACUUACCAUUUGGUAAAAAGAAUUCAGAACCCAGCUUUGUCCUGAGUUUACUGACAAGGCUUCUUGGAUAUGUAUUUUAACUUACACAGCUCAAAUGUUUAGAUCAAAUUCUGGAUUUAAUAAAUAUUAAUUGCCCUCUGUGCAUCACUAAGAACAAUUCUCUGCAGAGAGCUCCAGACUGAGGCCUGGACAGCAGCUAGGCAGCAUUGCAGAAUUAUUUCUUUAAAAAUAUUACAAAAAUCAUCUCAUUUUGCCUAGGAAAGGCUAGGCAGAAACAGAGAUGCCAUAGUAAUACAGAUGUAUAUAAAGACAAUGUCCUUCAUACCAUUCAAUACAAUAAACAAGACACCCUGUUGACUAGAUUGAACCAGAGUAGUUAACCUUUAACGUAGACUUCAAAAAGAAUACCACUUUUUAGUACUAAGUACAUCAUCAGAAAGAGAAAACUCAGUAUAACAGCUUUCUGUCAUAAAGGUGCCAUGAUCAAUGUGAGGUUUCACAAGAUAUAACUAUGGAGAAUUUCAGGGCUUCAUUUCUUGAUUAGAUUGAAUCAUAAGGGACAUACCAACAUAACAAUCAUUAUGAGAAGUCACUGUAAAGGCAUCACAUACCUGAGUUGUGAACAGUACUUAUGCUUUCCUCUGGAUGGUGGACUGACUGGAGAAAGUGUGGCUGUACAAUCACAUGGUUUACAUGGUCCAUAUAGUUGGAGUUGGUGCUGUGUAGAAUAUUAACCUGGCACAAGAGAAGAAUAAGAGAUCAGACAUUCUAUCAGGUAUUCUUCUAUAUUCUAUUUGCUGGCUCCAUAUAUUAUAUUGUAUUAAGAAGUUCAUCAGAAGAUAGGAAUAUUAGUAUAUAAACCUUAUAGACCUAAUUCCUAGCAUUAAUUGUCCAUCAGCUACAGAUGUUGAAGUGGCAAAGGAAGGUAAACGCUUUUUAUUGAUUUAUCUGUAUGGACAACUAGUGUACUUCCUUUCCUUUUUUUUUUUUUUUCCCCCCCCUCCAUUCUCUCUCAGCUGCUCAGCUUUUAGAUGCUCCCAGAAAGUUAUUAGCAAAAACUGAAAUCAGUGUCCUAGCUGCAGAAUGCUAAGGUAGGAAGCAUUUUCAAUAGAACUUAAACACCUACUACUGUUCAAAACAAAUUACAAAGUUUUCAGCCUGUUGCUAAAGUCUUGUACUUCUUUAGUUCCUUGUUACCUGGAUUCUAGGCUGGAUAAACAAUUUCUUCAGCAUCAGUACGACUCCUGCUGAGAUGAUGCAUCAGCAGCCAUUUUCUGUCCCUGAGCCAGCGUGAGGUACUGGACUGACUUACUACCAGCAAAAAUAACCUCAAAAGAGGUAUCCAAAUUUUCCUGUAGCAACUGACCAUAUAUGGGUAGUAUGAAAGAUGAAUUCCAUCCUAGGCGCUCAAAAUCUGUAUACUGACUUUCCUUCUCAAAGAAAUCUGAAAUCAUACAAGUUACCAGGAAUAAUUUCCAUCUGAUGGAGAAGAUUUUAUAAAAAAUAUUGCUAUUAUAACUAGAUAUUGCUUGGCAAAACUGAAAAGUUGAACAUAGCAGGAAAGAAAAGUGUGACAGGUUAAAAAGCAACUAAGGAAAAAUAAUGAAGCUGUGGUGAUUUACUUUGAAGUAUACAGACCUUAAAAAAAAAAGAAGCAAACCCAAAACCCAACAACUGUAGCACAUUUUACAUGAUAGGGUUAUGAAAAAGCAAUGAUGACAACCUUAUCUUCCAUUCUGUUUGAGCAGAAGUCUCUGUUAGAGGAGCUCCAGAGAAGCAUUGUCACAAUACAUCUGACUAGACAAACCCACAGUGAGUAAAGACAACAAAUGUUAAUUUCCUCUUUGUAUAAAACUUCAGAAUGCUUCCUGAAUUUGAUGUGUCUAUCAUUCUACAGAUUUUAAACAAAUCUAAUUGUUGUGAAAGAUGGGGCAACUACUCAGCUCCAGUGUUAGAAAAGAAAGGCUUAACUAAAAGAUUGCUUACCUCCAAGUUAAAUUCAUUGCUAGUGUAAUGCCCAUUCAGCUCAGAGCACUUGACUCUGAACUUUCUUUCAAAGGUGGCAGAAGUGUACCAGUUACGAUAUCGAAUCUGCUGAAGAACUUGUUCAUAGUUGUGCAUGGUGUCCACACCUGAAAUGGUGGCAGCGCAUUAUCAAUUAGGGUGCUAUGUAACAGACACUGUGUGCACAGGAGAAAUCAAACAGCCACAGAAAAUACAAGACUUGGCAGUGCAUCGAGUAUUUCCUAACAGAGAAAAUAGCCUUUUGAAUCAAAUGUAAUUCCAUAAUGGAAAAGAAUAAAUAUAACCACAAAGAUUCAGAAUAAAGUAUUAGGUACUCAGAGGGAAGAAAAACAAAACAAAACAAAAGGCUCGUGUGUUACCAGCACUGUGCAGGAGAACUGAGGAACCCCCUCAUUCACACAUUCCAGCAUGAUGGUCCACAAGAUCCUUCACAGUUAAAGAAAGCAGUGUUGCUUUUUUUCCUUGUUUGGGGAGUACAGAGAUGAGACAAAGCUGUGCUGUAUUCAUGGAGGAUAAUGGAUAAACACAACAUGCCCAGAGAACAAGAAGUAAUUACUGCUUUUUGAGAGUCGCUCCUGAAAUAUUUUACAGGUAGCACACCACAGCUUUCUCUCAAAUUAUGCUGCCCUUUCGUUCCUAGAAUGUAACCGUUGGUGAGAAGAAAUAAGGGAAUGCAAAGUCUGUGAACAUACCGUAGAUUGAAUAUCCUGCUGUGGAAUUUGUGGCAUCUAGAUGUUUUCCUUCAAGCUCAGUACGAUCUAGUUCUAAACACUCCUGUUCAGGAUCCAGUUCUGCACCACUGACCAAAACAUCACAGAAAUCCAAGUUGUGGAGCAUUUCCUCCAAGACCACUGGCUUAUUGGCUAUGAACACAUGGCAUAUACCACAAAGAGAAAAAAAAAAAAAAAAGCAAAGAAUUUUGCAAAGAUGUCUGAAUUGUUCUUUGCUCAUAUUAAGCACGGUACACUUGAAGCAAAUAAAAAGAGAAGCAUUUUACUUGUUCAGAUGCUGCAGUGGUGAGGGCCUACAAACACAUAGCGAGGCAAAACAUAAAAUUUUUCAAUAAUAUAUUUUCCUGUAGCAAACUCACAUGCAGCAGUGAAGGCAGAAAACUAAAAUUUGAUCCUUCAAACAAAUUCAUAUUAACAAUUCAGCUUUUCAGUAUUGAUAUGGCAGAUUACAAAUAUCAAAUAUAUCAAUGCUUAGAUGAUUUUCUCGUUUAUUCUAUGACCCAUAAAGAGUUUGCGUUAUAGAGAACACUGUACCAUCUAUCUGAAAACAUCAUGGGAUUAUCACAAAUGGCAAGAGUCUGUAUGAUAUGUAGAGAAAUCAAGUCCUAAAAUGACUAGCCUUCAAUAAUUAUGAUUAGAACAAAAAUCUGUCACUGGAAUAAAAGUAAAACAUCAGCGUAUUAUUUUUAUUCUGUGGUAAACAUAACACAAAGGGUCUUGCAAGCCUGCCUAACCAUCUCCCUGAAGAUACCAUAGAUGGAGACAGCCAUCUUGGAACUCAACACCCAUUUAUAUACCUUCAUUUUGGAGGGUAUGUCAGUAAGCAAAGCAUAGGUAGAAAAAUCUUACACAUUAGAUUCCCAACCCCUUGUACAGUGAAUUUGGGGAUCUGAACUAUACAGCUGGAAACAGUUAUAAUUUGUACUAAAAACUUCAGAGCCAUCUCAAAUUUGCAAGGUAGGCAAAUCUGAUUAUUACCAAGCCUAAUGAGUUGGACUGUUACUUGGGAAGUUAUAAGACAGGCAAGAGCUGGGUUGCAAGGAAAGAGAAAACUGCUCAGCUUUGCUGCUCUUGCCACCACCACUGGGUGAACAUGAAAGGGAGAGACAGCACAUUCAGUCACACUGGGUCACACUGAUUUCUCCGCUGAGGCAGGACAAGCAGCAACACUUCAACAUUCCAGGGGUCCCUUGCAGGUGAAAAAAGGCCUCAAAGCCAUAGUUAUGCUGCUGCCUACAGCAACCGUCUGCUCUGCUUUUGAAGAGAGACAGACCUGACUGGUCCCGUGGCUGAGGAAUACGUGGUGACUACAUUAGCCUCCUCAGCCUUGCCGUGUGCAUCUCUGCUACACUUACGAUGAUCAAACUAUGUAACUUCCUAGUAAGAGCAAAACUAGGAAUAGGUAGAUAUAGGUGAAAAUUUAUGGCUAUCUUUGUUAUGUACAUAGGUCUGUCAGAUAGUAUGCGGACUGAGAAAAAUAAUAGUGCAAGUUGUAUAGGACGGGAACUGAGAGGCAGAAUUCAGUAAUCACUUGCAAAACAGUUAUUCCCCAAACCAAUUAUUACCUAUUCAUUUUAAUUAUUAGGGAUAUAAAUAACAGGUGGCACAUUAGGAAGUACCUGACUUCCUGGCAAUUAAAUGAUAGUAUUACUAUAUAGAAUAGUAAUGCUGCUGUUCCAUCUGAAGGUGAGACCUCAGGCUUUUUAAGUUAAGAAGAGGUGCUACAGCUAUAAUUAUGACAACAGUUUUAUUUGGAAAAAUUAGGAUAUACAAAACUUAUAAACUAAACUGGAGGGCGCCAGUUCCUAAUUCACUGAACAGUUUUGAUGUCACAAUAUUUAGCGACAUGGAGUAUCAUAUAUGCAGUGUCCCUUAAAUGAAGGAUAAUGAUCUCUUUUCCACAGAGGAAUUAAUUUGACAUACCUUAAUUGUAUGCAGUUGGUACUGUGAUACAAUACACUUUCCAGCCUUCAGAGAAUAGAUGCAAUUUAAGGCAAGUUAUGAGUAGCAUUAUUAUAGGGAAUAGCUUCAGGGAAUCCAUGCUCCCACGCUUGCACAUCAUUAAGGAUUUUAUCUUUUCAAGAAAUGUACAUCUAAUGGCUGCUUAUUCUAGCCCACAAAAUAUUUACAAAGAUGCAUCAGGUUGCUAGGAUUUUCACUUACCUUGCAUAGAAUUAGCCAAAAGGAUGAGUCCUUUAGACAAUCCUUUUAAACCAUAUUUUUGUUUUUAAAUAUUCACCUAGUGUCAAACAGUAGCACACAUUUUUCAGCAGUAGAAUAAACUGUCAUUACUGAAAGUCAUCUUUGUAAAUGAUUAUAUUUCUGUUACGUAUGGGAAACUGAAUCACAAGAGGACUAUGUUACUUACUCAGGUAUCAUCCAAAAGUCAGUAGCAGAGCUGGAAUUCUAAGAACAGACUAAAACUCCAACUAUAGUCAAUAAGUACUUUGCACUUAGUACAAUUAAUAAAAUUUGGUUACAAAAUUUAAUGGAAAUACAUUAGUCAACAGAGUAUGUAGAGAAGAGUAGACAGGAAUUACUCUGAAGUAGGCAAGACAUGAAAUAGGAAGCUGUCUUUUCAGAAGCACAUUCUGAUCAAUCAAAUGAAUAGGGAUUUGUUCACUUUUUGAUCUGUUUAAGUGAAUGUCUUCACUACAGUGUUGCUGUUGACUAACGAGGCUUAAAAUAAUUUGGGUGAAGUGACUUUGUGCUACCUUUUUGCAUUACCCUUUCAAAAAUGUGAGGGAUCAUAUUACUGAGUAAGCAAUAAUACUUAAAAGAAAUCAACAUACCUCCAUCAUUUUUUUUGGAAUGCUCCAUUUUUGUGACGGUGCUGGCAAUCCUGAUGUCAGGAAGCAGAAUGACACCUCUUUCACUUUCAAAUUGCGCCGCUGGUCUAGCAAAGUGGUCCAUCCCACUUAUUGUAAUCUUGGGCUCAUUGGCCUGAAGCACCAUUACAUAUGCAUCGAUAUCUGGGAUAUUAAUGCAGACAUCUUCACCAAAACAUCUGAAAAAGAUGUUAAAUGGAUGUAACACACUGCACAUCAAAGGUGUGUGGCACUUGCAUCAUCCAAAACCCACCUGAUGCCUCUUAUUGUUUUUUAAAUUUUCUUAUUUCAGUUAGCUCCUUACUUUGACACUGCUAUGUAAGGACAUGCAUCAGUACCACAUGCAUCUGUAGAUAGUCUAGCAGUAACAGUAACAGCUCUGUUCCUUCUAUCCCUGCCCAGAUUCACAUCUACUGAAAUUAUAAAGACAGGGUUAAACAAAGAGCUUUGUAACAAGCUUUAUCUUUAGUGAGGUCUCUAUAAGAGUAAUAUUUUGAUAUUUAACUGACACUUAACAAAGAAGUGCACAAUUAAUAAAAUUAACUGGAUGAUGACAACUAUGUAAACCUAACUUUAAAUCCUCAAAGUGGUAUCUAGUGAACAUAAUAGAGUAUCUUGUCACGUGUGAGUAAAAGGGCCAAAUGAACCAUUUAUAUUGGACCCAUCACAGACUCAUUCUGGUGCUCCCUAGUUUUUAGUGGAACCUAUAUUAGCAUUUUUGUUUGAAUCAGCAGUGUGCUUUUAAGUUAAUCUCCAAACACUCUGUACCUUACAGCAUAUUUGCACAGAUCACGGACAGCCUUGGGGUACGCGAGCUGAACUCAUCUUAGUGACACUAAUUCAGAAGAUGCUCUCCAUAGUGCAGUCAGCCCACAGCACCAGAGUAAGCCAAGUAAAGAACUGUACACAGGGUGCAUCUGUCAGUAGCUGGUUCUCUCUCAAAACCUGCUCUCAGUGCUCUGCCCAACUUCUUGUAACAGAGAGGUACCCCUGGGAGCUCAGGAGUGGCAGAUGGCUGUUUUAUUACACAGAACUGUAAACAUUAUUGUGUAGGUUCUGUCACAAUUCUUGCAUGAAAACAGAAGGACAAAGAUUUUUGCUUAACGCUGAACACCAAUGUUUCUGUGAUGACAGCCACAGAAGGAUAUAGACAGACAAAGACUACUUUAAGCAUAGUUACAAAUGUUCUUGCAGCUAGAUAGUCUGUAAGAAGUAACAGGCCUCCUUCAAAAAGUCAUGGCUCUACAUAUACUGAAAGAAACUGUAACUAUUUUUUUAAUGAUCAUUAAAAUAGUUAUGCAAUAAAUGCAUACACUCUCCAGUCCAGAUUAUAUGCUCCAGACUAUAAACAGAAUGCAAGUAAAUUACAUUCAAAAGAAGAGUUUCUUACAAGGAAAAUAUCAAAAGAAAACCACAAAGUAAAUCAGCACAAAAGUAAGUGAAAUUGAUAUUUUUUCCUCAGUAACAUCAAAAUAUGAUUUUACAAUCCCCCUUUUUACUUGUCUGAAGAAAGAAAUAAUUUGUUAAAAAUAUUUCUGAUCAGGUUAGCUGAAUUAAAACUUACUGGACUUUAGAUGAGACUUUGAGACGUCGUACGCCUGCAGUAGGAAACUGCCUAGAGUUGAUGUAAGAGACCUUUCGGAGAGCUCGAUUUAUAUUCUCAAUGUCAUCUCCUUCCAUGACAAGGACUGACUGGGAAGGGUUGAAGUGAUACUGGGGGAAAUGCAUAUGAUUAGUAUUUAAGGUACCAGAAACAGAGUACAAAAUAAGACGUUUUUAUUGAGUGUUGCCUAGAUGUAAGAUUAAAAUCUAAUGAUUUAAGAAAAAAAAAACCCUUAGUUGCUAUUGUUGGCUGAAUAUGUGUGUUGUUACCCCCAAAAUGUUUCAAGUCUGUCAUCUAUACAAUAUGUUAAUAUCUACUGUACUAAUUAAUUUUAUAGUAAAUUUAUCCAGAUUUGUUGUAUUUUACCCAGUAUUAUCUACUUUGCUGAUACUAAUUCUGCAUCUGUAGAGCUGAAAACAUAACCUUACUUUUAUUAUUAUUACUACUAUAUAAUUUCUUUUUAGGUCACAGGCAUUCCCCAUAUAAAAAUAUUGACUUACACAAGAGCAAUAUGCAGAAAUAUAUUUUUCUGGCUUUCUGUUUAAUUUUACUCUGGACAGUCUUUCUGACAUAUAUUUCGACAUGACUGAACAACAACAAAAAUACAGUGUUUCCCUCCUACAUCUUCAUUAAUGUCAGACAAAAUAAAGGGGGUUCUUCUGUCUCUGUCUCAUGAUCGAUAAGGGUGUCAUGAUUUAAGACGAAACUGCUGCUUGCACAAAGCCAGCUGCUAAUAUGAGCCAACAAAUCUUGCAGAAUCAGUGGCUGUUCUUGUAGCCCUGAUUAUUCUCUAUUCCAUUGCACUGAACUCAAAGCAGUUCUGCUGACCAAGAUAUUUUGCUAUUGUAUCUGCAUAGCAAGCAGCUGAUUUUUAUCUUCAGUGUGAUUCAUCCUGAUUCCAUUUUUUUUGGUCUUUUAAUUGGUUCAGCAAACCAUCUGCAUUGCAGAAAAAGCAGAUUAGCCCCCUUAAUUUUUUACCCUUCCAACUGACAGCGCAGAACACAAAGAAAUGCACAGAACACAAGGAAAUGCACCCUCCUCUCACACUGCAAAGCUGGAUAUUGAUUAUAUAUAUCUGAGCGUAUUAUAUUGUAUACAGACAACGACUGUCUACACUUCCUUACAAAGACAGAGGUUAAAAAGUGAGUAAAUAGACUAUGAAGAACAAAACAAUGUGUGGGUUCUCUGUUGAACAGAACACAGAGGACUGAGUUCAAAGCUUGCACAGGAAGGUCAUAACGCUCUGAAGGCUAUUUUUUAACAAAGAGUAGUCAUGACAUGAGUCACAGCCCACAUACACUUUUCUAUCUGUAAAAGAAUAAAAUGAGCAGAAGGAGACUCUAGCUAGCUAGUUAACUUAAUAGCUCAGCUGCCAGAACAGCUGGAAUGCUGCCAAAGGGACUGGAGAAAGCCCUAGUCUGAGCCAUUUUUGUCUUUCUCAUUAAAAAAGUCUAAAAAUAGCAACAGUUUAGACAGUGUCUCUGAGAGCUGUUACAGAUAUGUGAAAAUGAGGCUGCAGACAGAAAAAGUCCAAUGCUGCUGUGUCAGGAACCAAAUUACAGCUGUGUUGCUCUUUGCUAGGUGAGUGCAAGGGUGAAGUGCGUCCAAAGUGCCCAGCAGAAACUCCUCCCAACAUCAGUUUGCCAACAUUGAAUCUGCUAAGUACCAUGUAAACAGCUAUCAUCUAUACAACUGUGAAACAUGUUUACAUGAGAUCAUGUAUGUUUAUUUUUGAACAAGAAAGUAUUAAUUUUCUGUUGAAGUUCAGGUGCCAACUGUUCCACUUUCAUCCGAGCUUUUUGUCCGCACCGAUAAGAAACCCUACCACAAUCUAUCUCUGACUGCUCCUUUUGUUUUUGCCUCCUGCUGUUACACUGACUGUUGAUCUGGCUGAGAAAGUAAAAAUGAAAGCAGUAACUUUAAAGAAAUACCAUGCUUCAUCUGUCCUUUGGAAAAUGAAAAUGUUUUUGAAGAUUAUUGCAAAAAAGAAAAGACAGCAAUCCUUCGUUUUUCCUACCCUGCUGCUAGAGCAGUGAGAAAACCAAUCACCUGCACUGGGCAGCAGUGGGAGGCAUCCUGGAGUUUUCCAAGCCCAUGAAAAAACAGACAAUUCAAACACUCUUAAAUUUUAAAUUCAAACAAUCUUUAAAUUUCAAAAUGUGAAAAAAGGGGAGGAAUUACCACGCUUUUGAACAUCAUGCACCAAGUAUAAACUGAUUUAAUUCAUGUAAAACCCCAGCAAAAGAACUUACUGGCAUGCAUAUGCAACUCAAGUUCCAAAAACCUCUGGCUGCUUGCUGCAUGCAUUGUCUAAAAUAGCCGGAGUUACCAAAGGUCCUCCUUAACUUUCCACCUUCAAUUUAUAUUUUUACCCUUGUUUUUAGAAACAUAUUGGUUAUACUAUACCACUGUAUCUUAUCACCUGGACAGAUACUGAAUUUUAUUUUAGGUCAGUCUCCUAUCUGGUAAAACAAAAGCUUUAGCUAAUGAAAUCUAGUAAAAGGCACUUCCAGUGCAUAAUGCAGAUCAAGUGUUACAGCUCCACUCUCCUCCGCCCUGAAAAACAAAGUGCCAAAUAACCUGUGCUGUUUCACUGACUACACAGUCCGCAGCCAAAAUAUCUUCCCAGUUACUUGAAUCUGAAGCUUAGCUCCUUCAGAAGAUGGUAUUGUGAUUUGUGUACUAGGAAAUAGCUUACCUGUGUUAUACACCUUAGGUGGAAGAAUACCUAUCAUCUAUUGAUGUCCAGUAUUGGACAUCCUAAAAUGGAUUUUUUAUGUAAGCACUAUGGCAGUAAUAAUGAAGAUCCUACAAGUGUACCCGAAAGAACAAAGGUUGUCUUAAUGAAUGCAAAGACACCUGGCCACUAUAUCAAUUGAUACAGAAUUUCUUACUUGCUAUUCUCCAAUCUUAGAAAUAAGUGCUACAGAAUCAGGGAAGACAGUCAUAUGUGUAAUAUUGAUGAUAAUAACAUGUAUGAAAAUGUUUAAUUUGAAUUUCUUGAUUUUUUGUUAUCCAGUUUUCCUCUUGGAGUACACUCAGAAUUUCUCAGACCACCUAAAUUGGAACUUCUGCCUCUAGAUGAAAGAUAUUCCAAUUACAUUUUGCAUUGCUUUAAAGCUGUUUGAGAUCAAACUUUAGUAAUUCUUUGGAACUAUGUCUACUACUGUGAGACUAUGAAAAUAAGCAUGAAUGAGAACAUGACUUGGCAGUUCUUACAGGCUGUGAAAUUUCAGCACCUUACUUUCUGAGCAUCUGCCUUUGCAAUAGUGGAAACAUUUUGCUUUGCAGCGUCAUAACUCUUCUACUGUUCCAUCUUUUCUUUUCAUGACUUUAUGGGAAAUUACACUGGUUUUAGGAGCACAGUUGUACUGUGUGUACUCUACCUUGGUCUCUCCACUUCAUAAAUCAUCUCUAAAUUUUUAUCAAAGAUGAUGUCAGUUCAUUCCUUACCUUCACUCCUUGGCCAAGACUCUCAAGUGAAUUAAUAUCCAGACCUUCCUUGCAGGCCUGCAAACAGGAAAUCACUUUCUGACUCUCAAUUUUUCCAGGACGGAUAGUAAGACUGGCUAGGCUGCCAUGGAAAUACUGAGCAAACCUAGGCUUGGUGACUUCACCUCCUGCAAGAAAGAAAAUGUAAAAUGAUUAUUGUUACCGAUACAGAAAACAUAAAUAAUUCAUGUUUUUUAACAUGCACUUCAAGAGUUGAAAUCAAGUUUAGCCAAUUGCUUUUGGAAUUCCAUUUAUUUUGCUAAGUAGAAUUGCUUUGGUUGUUGGAUGUAGUAGCUACCUGUCUUUAAGAUUACUGUCAGCUUACAAAGCUGUCAUAACAUACUUUGAGAUGAAAGAUGACUUCCCAAACCUGUGCCCAAGGAAGCAGAGCCUUUUCAAAAAUGAGAUUAUUAGAGUGAUCAAACAUGAAUUUCAAAACAUGUUUGAGGCCUUACAUUUAUUUAUGCAGAGACUGUAUCUGCAAGUUCUCUACUACAAGUUUUUACUCUUUUAUACAGCCUUUAUCUUUUUUUCCUCCAAAUUCAACUCUGACAGACCUAGAUGUGCUCUGUGUAAACAAUGUGCCAUAUUCUCUACAAACUAUUGUCUCCAAGAACAUGGUAUAAAUUCAGAGCAUUGACUGCACACUAAUGCACAGCAUUGUGCUAAAAGGCUUACAGUAUCUUACCCAAACAAGCUUGUUUUGUGCUAGAUGAGGUCCCAUCACAGUACACUGCACUAGACCCUCUAGCUGUGCUCUAUUCAGCUUCACACUAUGCAGCUUCAAAGGAAGGCUGAUCUUUAGGAGUUGUCAAUAAAAUGUGAUUAUAUACUGCCUGCAACAGUGAUCAUAGCAUCUAAAUUACUCUUGGGAUAUUUAGUGAUUUACUCAUUCCCCUCUAAGAGAAUUUUUAGAGCUUGCUUUUCCUGCAGCGUUAGCUGAAUUGGUGCUUGUGAAUUACUGCCUACCUUGAGCCUGAGAGGACCAAGAAAGCCACACAGUAGUGAAGCUGUGCAGACUAAUUGCAUUAGCAGUGGAUAACCUGCUGUAAUUGUUAGAUAACUCAUCUUCACAGUGUUUGUAGCUUUAGUUCCCAAUAACCUAUUUCUGCCAGGCAAAAUACCUCAGGCUUGAACUUUAACUUGAAGAUUUGUGUGUGGAAUAGUGUAAGAAUAGGGGAUAAAGUGGCAACUGUAGUUUAGGCUGAUGUUACUGCCUGAAAGCCAUCUCUUUUGAUCUGUGCAGGAUAAGCACAACAUUUUCCUUAUGUAUUAAGGAGAAUAAUAUGCUGUUGUGCAGAGAGUAAGGAAGGUGUCUAGGCAUGCUGUUUCUUCACAGAAGCAGACAUUUCUUCUAUGCUAAGACUACAGUACAAACUGCUGCUCUUUCUACUUCAAAGAAAGAUCCUCAAAGAGAUUAUGUUUUUUCUCCUCUUUCAUUUGUCUGUCAGUUAUACAGAAAACUUCUUCUGGGCCAAAUUUUUUAGAGGUUUCAUAGAACCUUUCACAUCUGCAACAUCUGAAGCAAAGAAUCAGUCUGUACUGUAAAUUAGGCCUUAUCAAGAUAAUUAACUGAUAAAUAGUUAGUACCCUAUGUGGUUGUUAGGUCUUCCCAAAAAUGUCAUUACAUUUAUGUAUUUGAAUUGCCUAUUUCCACUAAUAAUAACAAUGUACCUGAUGAUAAGAUGACAAAACAGGUGAAACCUUACAGAAGAAAGGAAAUGUUGUGUUUUGAAGUUUCAUGUUCUCAUAUCCUUAACAUAGUUCUGAAGACAACAAGUUCUAAGGUUAAAACCUUACGUUUUAAAAUUUAGAAACAUACAGUAAAUGUGCCAGCAAAUCUUAACAGUUCUGAUGAGAUGCAAAAUGAGAAGCAGUCUCAGAUAAGCUAAUGUAUUUAAAUAUUAAACUAGUUCCUUAAAAUGUAUGAAGGAAUAGACCAGAAGCUAAAACAAAGAAUUAGGCGCUAUGGCUAUCUCUGGCAGUACAAGCAAUAUAAACCAGCUGAAAUGAACCUACAGAUCUGCAUGACUGGUGCCUACAUCCAUGCAUAGAAAUUUCAGGUAUUAAUUUAUUAUUUUUUUUCAGUUGUUAUUUCAUUUCUGACUAAUUUGUCUCAGAUGCCAUCAACAAAAAGCAUUUAUUCUUGGUUCAAACGCGGUAGGUACAUGGCUGGUGUGCACAGCCAGUUAGUUUCCUCCAGCAGGAAUCCAGUUCAUGUGCCCAAACACUGGUCCAUGUGGACAACAGCAGAGGACUGGGGAUGAUCAGGGGAUUGUUAAAAGUGUGCUCCUGAUCCAAAGUGACACACUAAUGUGGAUGUGCAAAUAUAGCAGCUCUGUAAGUGGUUAUCUUCAGUCUGUGAGUAGAAAAAUAGCUGGGAAUAGCCUACUGUCCUGUUGUAUCAGUAGAGAAAUAUACUAAACUAUGCUGACAGUUACAGCAGGAUGAUUCAUACUAGGACAGUUGCAGCGUAACAGCUGAUAGCAGGAUCUGAAGGGACAUUGGGGGAUGACCUAGUCUGUCCAGUAGCCCCAAGAAAAUAUCAGCUGUACUCCACCAUUCUAGAGAAUUGCCAGAGAGGUUCUAACCUCUUCUGAAGACAAAGGUUCCUGAAGCAGUCUACUCCAUUGGUUACUGAUCUUUAUAGGGUUGAAAGCUUAUUCAUAAAGAGAAUGUUAGCUAUCAAAAUAUUACCAUACUUUUCCCUCUGACAGGCUAACCAAGGUCUUUCCUAUAACUGUUUCCACCUAGAACUGUAGACUCUAAUCAUCCCUCUUGCUUUCCCCAGAAGUACUGCUCUUAUUUGAAGUACUAAUCACAGCUUAGAGGUCUUCUGAAUGUUACGUGUGUCUUACAUAGGACAUCCCUGUUAAUUCAGGAUAGCAUGAAAAACUAGCUUUUUGCACAUGAAUAAACACGAGCAAUCAUAUAUGCACACUUAAAGAACAAGUACUGUCUUACACGUAAUUACAAAGAAUAGGCUGCCAAAUAAGCUUUUCAUAAGCACCUUUUGCCAGAGCCAAAGACAAAAUGAUAUACCUGCUAAUUUUAUCCACUAAGGUGAAUAGAUGUCGUUACAUCUGACUCUUACCACAGCGCUUGUAAAUUGCACCAUGUUGACAUUUUCAUAUUCUUCUACAUCAGCAUUUCAGAAUCUUCUCAGCUUAAGAGGGUACGUUAGCUUGAUGUGUUUCAAUAGUCAGCAAAUUAUCAGUCCCGUACAGCCCGAACAAAUAGAACUCAACUCCACGAAGGCGGUACAGCAGCAUUAAGACCUUCAUAAUAAAUAAAAUCCUAACUCCUCAAUUGCCUAGCAUCAUGUGUUUCACACAGCUGUUUACUGAUUGAUUAAUAUUGAUUAACAUUAAUUCCUGGGGGAUACUUCAGGAGUGAACAAUAAGGGAAAUGCUAACUGUCCUUACUGUCAGUCAGGGGGUUAGGUUGAUGUCCACAACACACAAAAGGCCGAAAAAACCUUCUAGAACAAUGCCACUUACUUAUCCUCAUUACAGACCAUUACAGAUGCAUUACAAAUCUCAGCUGCUGCUUUUAUCACACACUCUUCACACCAAAACAUUCAGAAGAAGGGCCCUGCUAUGAUCUUCUGAUCACCCCACUGGUUAAAACCAUUCUAACAGGCAAUUGUUCCAAGAAAGAAACAGCUAAGAUAUAAUAUAGGCACAGGGCUUAGAAAAGACUGCCAGAAGAAAACAAGAGCUGCUACUGGAAUUAUCUAGACAACUAGAACUGCCUGGGGUUACUAAUGCACCAUGCUAUUGGUCUCAGUUUCGAGGCAGGAUUAGGCAGGGGCACGUCAUACACUGGGUGCCCUUCCCAGUCCCUUUGGGACUACUUGUGAAUUUUAUUUCUCUCUUGUGCUACUCACACUGGUACCCGUACUCUCACCAAGCGCACCACCACAGCACACUACAGUAGGAUGCACAGGGUAGAGGAGGAUGCACACCCCACAAAAGGCCAUGUGCUGCACCAACACAGUCCUCAGUGAAGUGAAGAAGCUGCCAAUGAAAGCAAUACUUCAGAAUAUUACUGUAUUUGGCAUAUAUCCCAACAGUCACAAGCAUAGGUACCACGGGUGCCCAAAACUGCAAACACAAUAAACCAAAUGUAGAAUUAACAGACAAAAUUUCAGAUGCAUAUGUUGC
rnacentral:lncRNA from 1 species